rnacentral:rRNA from 1 species
GACGAACGCUGGCGGCGCGCCUAACACAUGCAAGUCGAACGAGCGAGAGAGAGCUUGCUUUCUCGAGCGAGUGGCGAACGGGUGAGUAACGCGUGAGGAACCUGCCUCAAAGAGGGGGACAACAGUUGGAAACGACUGCUAAUACCGCAUAAGCCCACGACCCGGCAUCGGGUAGAGGGAAAAGGAGCAAUCCGCUUUGAGAUGGCCUCGCGUCCGAUUAGCUAGUUGGUGAGGUAACGGCCCACCAAGGCGACGAUCGGUAGCCGGACUGAGAGGUUGAACGGCCACAUUGGGACUGAGACACGGCCCAGACUCCUACGGGAGGCAGCAGUGGGGAAUAUUGCACAAUGGGGGAAACCCUGAUGCAGCGACGCCGCGUGGAGGAAGAAGGUCUUCGGAUUGUAAACUCCUGUUGUUGAGGAAGAUAAUGACGGUACUCAAAAAGGAAGUGACGGCUAACUACGUG